GUAAUAUAUAGUUAACGUGCCUCUUAGCCUGGGAUAGCCACUGGAAACGGUGAUUAAUACUGGAUACUCCUUCUAACUUAAUGUUAGUCGGGAAAGGUUUUUCGCUAAGAGAUCGGACUAUAUUGUAUCAGCUAGUUGGGGAGGUAAUGGCUCACCAAGGCAAUGACACAUAGCGGGUUUGAGAGGAUGAUCCGCCACACUGGUACUGAGACACGGACCAGACUCCUACGGGAGGCAGCAGUGAGGAAUAUUGCACAAUGGGGGAAACCCUGAUGCAGCAACGCCGCGUGGAGGAUGACGCAUUUCGGUGUGUAAACUCCUUUUAUAAGAGAAGAAAAUGACGGUAUCUUAUGAAUAAGUCCCGGCUAACUCCGUGCCAGCAGCCGCGGUAAUACGGAGGGGACAAGCGUUAUUCGGAAUCACUGGGCGUAAAGGACGCGUAGGCGGGUUAUUAAGUCGGGUGUGAAAUCCAAUGGCUCAACCAUUGAACUGCAUUCGAAACUGGUGACCUAGAGUAUGGAAGGGGCAGGUGGAAUUAGUGGUGUAGGGGUAAAAUCCGUAGAUAUCACUAGGAAUACCGAAAGCGAAGGCGACCUGCUGGGACAUUACUGACGCUGAGGCGUGAAAGCGUGGGGAGCAAACAGGAUUAGAUACCCUGAUAGUCCACGCCCUAAACCAUGAAUGCUAAUCGUCGGGGAGCGUGACUCUGCUGCUACGCACUUAACAUAAUAAAAAAAUCCGCCUGGCGCAGGGCAGUCGCGCGACUAGAAUUAAAAUCAAAGGAAUAGACACGCGACCCACCCGAUGGGAGCAUGCAGUUUAAUUCGUAGAUACAUCAACGAACCAUACCUACUCUGACGUUGAUUGAAUCUUUCAUAGAUGAGAGAGUGCCUUUCGGGAACAUGAAAACAAGAGCUGCACGGCUGUCGUCAGCUCGUGUCGUGAGAUGUUGGGUAAAUCCCGCAACGAGCGC
rnacentral:rRNA from 1 species